ACUUUUAAAGGAUAACAGCUAAUCCACUGGUCUUAG
rnacentral:tRNA from 1 species